rnacentral:lncRNA from 1 species
GAUCAUGUACAAGUUUACAAUUGAUUCCAUUAAUAGUGCUGGUGGAAUCCUAGUAAUGUGGAAUGACAAACCAUUUAAGGUAGACUCCAUUGAGUACAGUGGGAAAUGGAUAUCAGUUUUUGGGACACUUGUUCUAACUAAUUUUUCACAUGCAGUAGUAGGAGUUUAUAUAUGCAGGCAGCCUUUGCAGUGACUUUGUUUUUAGUUGGGGAUUUCAUUGAAAUAUUGCAUCAUUGUGAUAAAAGCAGUAAAUACCUGAAUCUGCUUGGCUCAAAGGAAUUUAGCAACUUCAUUAGAGAUUGU